ACGCCCCCGACACCCUCCCCUCCGACCGACUCCAUCCGUCCGCCGCCGCACCCCUUUUUAACGCCCGGCGAGGUUGUUCCUUGAGGUGACGCUAGCUAGGCUACGGCCUGAGCUGGCUGAGACAAUGGAAGAUGCGGGCAUGGUGUUCCUCCUCGACGCCGUUGACAGGUUUCCCCUACUUGAGGAAUUCGCGGACAGCCAUGAGCAGCCGGAUCCGGUUCCUCUGGUUAUGUUAGCGAACGGAGGAGCAGGAGCGCGCGGGCCAGGCUGAUUCCAACGCUGGCUCUGAACGUGAUCAGCAGAUCGGUGGCGACUGCAGCGAUGCUGCUCGUGCUGGCGUUCGCCGACGGCUUGAGUCGUCCCCGUCUACUUACAUAGUCAAUCCCCAGGCCCCUGGAUGGACAAAAAGGUUAAAACUGGGUAGUGCGCCACCAAUCCAUGUCCAUCCAGAAUGAGAGCUUUGGAGCACUCAAUUCGGAAAUACAUGGAGGAACCAACAAAAAGUGUAAUAAGACCUGAACUAGGAUUGGGUUUUGAUUUGUUGGGCGAAGCGUAUGACUUCUAGAAUCUGCAUUCAUGCAAAAUUGGCUUUGGUAUUAGAUAUGGCAAGAGCCGGUUGAAUGCAGAGAGAACUAAAUGCAUGCAGGAGAUCGUCUGCGGUUGUUCAGGAAAGCCAGAGACAGAGAAUAGCAGGUCGUGCAGGUGCGAGUGUCUAGCCUUGAUUAGGUUGAUACACACUGCGGAUAACAGUUGGUAUAUUACGGAGCACCGUAAAAGCCACAACCACUCCAUGUCAUUGACGAUGGGCGAGAAGAUGCACUGGCCCUCAGAAAAGCAUAUCGAUGUGUACACUAAGGGUUUGAUAAAGCAGCUGAGGGAGAAUAAUGUGAAUCUUGGUAAGGUGUACAGCAUAAUUGGCAGCUUUUUCCGAUCAGUCGAGAAGGUGCCAUUUACAAAAAGGUCUAGACGCCCU